GCUUCAAACCACCCUCAGUGGUGUAAAUAAUUAUCUUUUCUAUUAACAAGGGGUUAUCUGGUUUGGAACAUCUCAGGAAACUGAGUGAUAAUCAGGAAACACAUAAAGUUAGGCAGUACCUAGAAACUUGGGAGCCAGCUUGAAAUUCCUAUGGAUAGCAGAUAUACUGAUGGGAUAUCUCAUGGU